rnacentral:rRNA from 1 species
AGCAUAUCAAUAAGCGGAGGAAAAGAAACCAACAGGGAUUGCCUCAGUAACGGCGAGUGAAGCGGCAAAAGCUCAAAUUUGAAAUCUGGCUCUUUCAGGGUCCGAGUUGUAAUUUGUAGAAGAUGCUUUGGGUGUGGCUCUGGUUUAAGUUCUUUGGAAUAUUACAUCAUAGAGGGUGAGAAUCCCGUAUGUGACCAGCCGCCGCGCCCGUGUAAAGCUCUUUCAACGAGUCGAGUUGUUUGGGAAUGCAGCUCAAAAUGGGAGGUAUAUUUCUUCUAAAGCUAAAUAUUGGCCAGAGACCGAUAGCGCACAAGUAGAGUGAUCGAAAGAUGAAAAGCACUUUGGAAAGAGAGUUAAACAGUACGUGAAAUUGUUGAAAGGGAAGCGCUUGCAACCAGACUUGCACGCAGUUGAUCAUCCGGUGUUCUCACCGGGGCACUCUGCUGCGUUCAGGCCAGCAUCGUUUUUGGUGGUUGGAUAAAGACCUUGGGAAUGUAGCUUCUUUCGGGGAGUGUUAUAGCCCUCGGUGCAAUGCAGCCUACCGGGAACGAGGACCGCGCUUCGGCUAGGAUGCUGGCGUAAUGGUUGUAAGCGGCCCGUCUUGAAACAC